rnacentral:lncRNA from 1 species
ACUGUAUUUACAUGUACAUUGACAGACACCACCAAGAACCCUAAACGGAGAUUCAGAUUGAAAGCAUUAAUAACCCUAAUGCGAUGCGAUGCGAUGCGAGAAGAGAAAGAGCAAAAAGAGAGAGAUGGUGAAGAGAAGAGGAUGUUUUGAUUGGAGCCUACGGGAAUGGAAAGGAAAGGGAUUUGCGGUUGAAGAGUUAGGCUGACCUAGACAACUCCUGCCAGCUAUGUAUCUAACCACUUCUUUAUCAUUUUCUUUUUAAUUUUUACCCCUCACAAAUGAUUAUAUUAUCAUUUCCACAUUUUCAUUCUUUUUUCUUAAUUCAAUAUUUUGAGUAACUAAUAAAAAUAAAUAAAUCAAUUAAUUUAACAAUUUUCAUAGUCAAAAUUCAUUGCAAUGCAAUUCAAUUCAUUAAUUUAACUUUUUGAUGAGCCCUUCAAAUGUGUAUUUAUAUUGACUGAGAUCCUAUUUUCAUGAUUGCAAAUUACUUAAAAAGUGCUUUAUUUGCAAUAUUUCUAUACUUCCAAUAUUUUUUUAACAUAAUUUAGAUGUUUUUAUAACAUACCGAAUUGCUCAAUGACUAGUAAAAUGUUCCAUCUUAUAUGAGAACUAAAAAUAAACUUAUCGACCAUUAUAUUUAAAAUUAUAUUAGAAUACGUUAAAAUCGAUUUUACAAAACUUUCAUCCAAAUUACAAUUAAAUGAAUUUAACUUGUGAAGGGUUAAAAAAAAUCAGUAGGGAAGGUGUUGCUGGUGUAGGAAAUAAGCAUGCAGGUCUUUCCGACGGCACCAUCGCCGACGGUGACGCACUUAAUGAACCUAGAGGCACUCAUUUCUGCCACCCGAUCUCUUUCCCCACUCUUACUAAUAAAACUAUCAGUAACGUUCUUCAAUAAAAGCAAUGCCCUUGGCGUUGCCUAUCUUUUUGUUCUGAUUCUUUAUAUCCGAAAUCAAUUUUCGACUGAUAAUUGGUCAUCACCAGCUCAACGAUUUUUUAAAAAAACUGUAUUUACAUGUACAUUGACAGACACCACCAAGAACCCUAAACGGAGAUUCAGAUUGAAAGCAUUAAUAACCCUAAUGCGAUGCGAUGCGAUGCGAGAAGAGAAAGAGCAAAAAGAGAGAGAUGGUGAAGAGAAGAGGAUGUUUUGAUUGGAGCCUACGGGAAUGGAAAGGAAAGGGAUUUGCGGUUGAAGAGUUAGGCUGACCUAGACAACUCCUGCCAGCUAUGUAUCUAACC